UGAAUACCAGAUGCUGCGGCGUCGAAGCAGUCUAUGUCAUACUUCCAAGAAAAGCUUGCACUGUCAUAAACAAAUAAUGCCUGUACCAUAACCGACACAGGUGGGUAGGUAGAGUAUACUAAGGGGCGCGAGAUAACUCUCUCUAAGGAACUCGGCAAAAUGACUCCGUAACUUCGGGAGAAGGAGUGCCUUCUUUAGAAGGUUGCAAUAACAAGAUCCAAGCAACUGUUUACCAAAAACACAGGUCUCCGCUAAGUCGUAAGACGAUGUAUGGGGGCUGACGCCUGCCCAGUGCCAGAAGGUUAAAGAAGUUGGUUAGCAUUCGCGAAGCUGAUAACUGAAGCCCUGGUGAACGGCGGCCGUAACAAUAACGGUCCUAAGGUAGCGAAAUUCCUUGUCGGGUAAGUUCCGACCCGCACGAAAGGCGUAAUGAUUUGGAUACUGUCUCGGAGAGGGACUCGGUGAAAUAGACUUGUCUGUGAAGAUGCGGACUACCUGCACCUGGACAGAAAGACCCUAUGAAGCUUUACUGUAACUUGAAAUUGAAAUUGGACUUUAUUUGCGCAGUAUAGGUGGGAGGCCUUGAGAAUAAUCUUGCGGGAUUAUUGGAGCCAUCAGUGAGAUACCACUCUUGUAAUGUUAGAUUUCUAACUUUGGAUCAUGAUCUGGUCAAAGAACAGUUCCAGGCGGGCAGGUUGACUGGGGCGGUCGCCUCCCAAAUGGUAACGGAGGCGCACAAAGGUUUCCUCUGAACGGGUAGAAAUCGUAUCUAGAGUGUAAAGGCAUAAGGAAGCUUGACUGUGAGACCUACAAGUCGAGCAGGGACGAAAGUCGGUCUUAGUGAUCUGACGGUGCUGAGUGGAAAGGCCGUCACUCAACGGAUAAAAGUUACUCUAAGGAUAACAGGCUGAUCUCCCCCAAGAGUUCACAUCGACGGGGAGGUUUGGCACCUCGAUGUCGGCUCAUCGCAUCCUGGGGCGGUAGUACGUCCCAAGGGUUGGGCUGUUCGCCCAUGAAAGCGGUACGCGAGCUGGGUUCAGAACGUCGUGAGACAGUUCGGUCCAUAUCCGGUGUAGGCGUUAGAAUAUUGAGAGGAGCCUUCUCUAGUACGAGAGGACCGAGAAGGACAUACCUCUGGUGUACCAGUUAUCGUGCCAACGGUAAACGCUGGGUAGCUAUGUAUGGAGUGGAUAACCGCUGAAAGCAUCUAAGUGGGAGGCCCACCUCAGGAUAAG
rnacentral:rRNA from 1 species